GGGGCCCGGAAGCUCAGUGGUCACUAGACCGGAAGCAGGUGUGGAGACAGGAUGUCCUGGAGGAGACUCGGCUGUCAGGUGAUAUGACCUCAUCUAGGCUAUGUCCGCUCCCCACACUGAGCCCCCUAGAACUCGCCCAGUACUGGAAGGAAAGGAAGGAAAUCAAGAUUAUGUUGGAUCUGAAAUUCGAGCCUUUGUGUGGGCUCUGCUCAUCAAGUACCCAGGUGACUCUGAAGCCGGGACUCUGGCGUGUCCUCACCACUUUUCUCAGAAUGUCUUUGACUGAAUGCAGAAUGAAAAGAGGCUGACAACACAUUAGGAAAGUGCCAGAAGUUUGGAACUUCAGGGAGGAGGAAAAGCAGUGCUUUGCGCUCUGAGGGAAUUUUUACUAACAUCAGUCGGCAUGGAGACCAAGAUCAACCUGGAUGGGAGUGGAGAGGACAGGUUUGCUGGAGGGAGCUUGGAAGAUCAUUCAUGACCUGGCCAGGUUCUAGCUGGAAAGCAGGGCUGUUUAAGAGGGCUCCUUGAGAUUUGUUCACUGAGAGCAAUUCUGGACCAUGACUUGGUCAAAGAUAACCAUGGUCCUGAGAGGCAGAAGUAAAAUAGAGAUGAAAAUUACUGAAUUUAAGUAGGUAAAGAACAUGAGUUCCCGUAGACAUUAAUGGUGCAGGGUGAGAAGCCUGGGGUCCUUUGCAGACUCCUUAAUAAAUGUAGGCAAAUGACUUUAGGGUGUUUGGCGGCAGGGAGGAGGAAGGGAUAUCAGACUCUCUGUGUGGGAAAUUAGCACAUAGCCAAGACGGCGUCAGUCAUGCUCUCACUGCACGCCCUCUUGCCCUCGGGCCCUUGCCCCACAUCCUAUAAACAAUGAUUUUGCAUGGUUAUGUAACAGCUGAGAUCACGUAUACCAGUGUGCAUGCGUGUCAUGGUGUAUUUACUUGGCCAUGGACCACUUUUUUUCUAUAAACCUGUAUAAGCCCCACCUGAGAAACCCCUUUUGCUGCUGCUCCAGCCUGCAGAAAAUAAACAUGUCUGCAGUUCCUAA
ensembl:lncRNA